GGGGUCAAAAUCCUGCUUCUCAGUAUCGAAUUCGAUGGCUACAAUUUGGUUUCUGUGGUCGCCGUCGGUGGUUAUGUUGGUGAGGCCCAUCCACUGCCCCCAGCUCUGUUCAGGUACAUCAGUGGUUGGAGCUAUAAGAAAACUAGCCAUAAUUUGAACGGCUCACGGUACAUAAUGCGGCCAGAUGUAUUUUGAAGCCUAACAACCUCGUUCUGCGAGUCAGGAGUUAACUGCAGUGCCCCACCAUCGAUGGAAGAACUUGGUGUGAAGGUGAAUUGUUGGUUGUGCUCCCUUUCAUUGAAUCCAACAUAGGUAAAACGAUGGUCACGGAUCGGUUGGCUGCUCACAGCUCCAAAGUACACCAAAGAAGCCACAAUAACAACCAAGGAAAACCGAAAGAUACAGAUGAAUUCCAGGCUUUGUAGAUCGGUAAUGGGAAUACUGAAUCCAGAUUCGGCUUGUUCCUUUUUCAACUAAUCAAAGAAAAAAGCUAAAGGUAAACCCCGUUUGGUUUAAAGUUUAGAGCUUUUUUUCCAUGAUUAUCGCCUUGAUAUCACCUGAAAAACACACGCCUUUGGUCUUCUGUAAUUCUUGGACGCAUUAGUUAAAUCUGCAAGAAACCGAGUUUUGGGAAAGUUUGGAAAUGGUCGAAGGUCAAAACUCAAAAGGGGUUAGUAGAGAGGAAGAGGAGGAGGAGGAGAAGAAGAAUAAGGGUCAAAAUGUUCAUGCUGAAAAUGGAGAAAAAGCCAUUGAUGAGAUAUCUAUGUUGACAAACACAAGCAGCUUCCUAGAGAUAGCAGUGUAAAUAUUGUCUACGUUUAGAAUAUAAAACUCUUUAGACUUCCGUUGAUGAGUUUAGAGAUCUGAAGAGAAUUGGGCUAUGGAAUCUUUUCAACUUGAAAUGAUUAUUGUAUAUAUCCACUAGCUUAAGAUUGUUUUUUUUCUUUUCCCUCUUCUUUGACAGGUUGGUUGGUCCCACAGGGGAAUGGAAUUUGAAUAAUUGUUUGUUUUUCUGAGCUUUCA